rnacentral:lncRNA from 1 species
CUGCCAUGGGCAGGGACACCUCCCACCAGACCAGGUUGCCCAAAGCCCCAUCCAGCCUGGCCUUGAGCACCUCCAGGGAUGGGGCACCCACAGCUGCUCUGGGCAGCCUGUGCCAGGGCCUUAACGCCCUCACAGUAAAGAAUUUCUUCCUAAUAUCUAAUUUAAUCUCCCCUCUUUUAGUUCAAAACCAUUCCUCCUUGUCUUGUCAUUAUCUAACUGAGCAAAAAGUUGCUCUCCAUCUUUUCUUUAAGCCUCCUUUAAGUACUGGAAAGCUGCAAUAAGGUCACCCUGGAGCUUUCUCUUCUUCAGGCUGAACAGCCCCAGCUCUCUCAACCUUUCUUCAUAUGAUAAAAUUCUCUCUAUAUUAAUUCAGCAAAUUGUGAUGGUUGUUGCUGUGGAUCCACUGAAUAAAUAAUCUUAAUGUACCGCUAUCCUGAUCUGCUGGAGGACUGCAAAGGAAUCCAAAUCUAACAGUGAGCCUGCCUCCAAAUUUGCAUCUCUAUCCGCAGUUAUAGGUAAGAGCAUUUUUGAGUGGAGUUAUAAGCAAAGGAGCUACUGCAAGAUGUCCAGAAACCAGUGGGUUGCCUGGCAGACCAAAGCAAGUUUGGUGCUGGGAGGGCAGUGUCUCUAGGAGAGGAAGAAGCUGUCUAUUCCCCUGCCCUGGUCCCCAGCCAAGAAGAGCACCUGGACAUCUAACGAAGGCUGGCAGCUGGGAGGACAAGUGUGGGGCCAAUAUAGCCUGCUUGUGAGGCCAUUAAAAAGCAGCUGGGUGUGAAAAGAUAGACCUGUGAUGCUGCCAAGUUCAGCCAGACCAGUGGCAUGAUGAGCUUCCCAGUUGGUAAUCUGUGCAUUACUGCAGAGCUGCAUGUGGAGGCUUUGCCAUUUUUUCCCAACAUAUUGAGCCAUUACAGACGCAGCUCACCUGGACUAGCCCAUAGAUGGAAAGGCAUCCCAGCUUCAGGAGUGAACUUCCACUUCUGCCCUUGCAAACAGAGGCUGUUGGUGAGGAAGAGGGAAUCUGCAGCAGUUGAAGAGCAAGAGGUGGUGCUGUUGUGCUCAUGGCACACAGCUGGAGAGCCGGCUAUACUGCCACAGGGACAACAUGGAAAGACUUUUUGGCAUGGUGGCUCACCUUAAAGUGCCUGAAGUCGACCUGUCCAAUCAUCCAGCAUCUAGCCUUUUUAUUUGUUCUUGUUGCUCAUUUUACCUCCAAUAUAUUCUGAUAAACAAAAGAAAUGACAGUGGCAGACAAGGUUCUACACUGAAAUUAAACACAGCUGAUCUUUAUGUGUAGGCUCACACAAAGUAACUUUCGCCCCUUGCCCACGAAGCUGCAGAAACAGCAGGAAGUCUGGCUGAAUCUGAGUAGCAGCAAUCCAAGGGGUAAAAAGAACAGCAAACCACUCACAAAUAAAACUUCCUUCCCUUGUACCUUGGGGAAGGAA